rnacentral:rRNA from 1 species
ACGCUGGCGGCGUGCCUAAUACAUGCAAGUCGAACGCACAGCGAAAGGUGCUUGCACCUUUCAAGUGAGUGGCGAACGGGUGAGUAACACGUGGACAACCUGCCCCAAGGCUGGGGAUAACAUUUGGAAACAGAUGCUAAUACCGAAUAAAACUUAGUGUCGCAUGACACAAAGUUAAAAGGCGCUUCGGCGUCACCUAGAGAUGGAUCCGCGGUGCAUUAGUUAGUUGGUGGGGUAAAGGCCUACCAAGACAAUGAUGCAUAGCCGAGUUGAGAGACUGAUCGGCCACAUUGGGACUGAGACACGGCCCAAACUCGUACGGGAGGCUGCAGUAGGGAAUCUUCCACAAUGGGCGAAAGCCUGAUGGAGCAACGUCGCGUGUGUGAUGAAGGCUUUCGGGUCGUAAAGCACUGUUGUAUGGGAAGAACAGCUAGAAUAGGAAAUGAUUUUAGUUUGACGGUACCAUACCAGAAAGGGACGGCUAAAUACGUGCCAGCAGCCGCGGUAAUACGUAUGUCCCGAGCGUUAUCCGGAUUUAUUGGGCGUAAAGCGAGCGCAGACGGUUUAUUAAGUUUGAUGUGAAAGCCCGGAGCUCAACUCCGGAAUGGCAUUGGAAACUGGUUAACUUGAGUGCAGUAGAGGUAAGUGGAACUCCAUGUGUAGCGGUGGAAUGCGUAGAUAUAUGGAAGAACACCAGUGGCGAAGGCGGCUUACUGGACUGCAACUGACGUUGAGGCUCGAAAGUGUGGGUAGCAAAC